rnacentral:rRNA from 1 species
AUUGAACGCUGGCGGCAGACCUAAAACAUGCAAGUCGAACGGAGUUGCGAACGGGUGAGUAACGCGUAGGUAACUGCCUCAUAGCGGGGGAUAACUAUUGGAAACGAUAGCUGAUACCGCAUCCUGUGAGAUGGACCUGCGUUGUAUUAGCUAGUUGGUGAGGUAAAGGCUCAACAAGGCGACGAUACAUAGGCGACCGGAGAGGGUGUGCCGCCCCAGUGGGCCUGGGAAAUGGGCAACAACGCUACGGGAGGCAGCAGUGGGGAGGUUGCGGUGAAGGUCGGAAGUCUGUCCGAGCAACGCGGCUUGGGUGACUAAGUGUAUCGGAUGGUACAGAAAUGUUGUGGGAGACGCGGUAACGAACUAGACAUGGACGGCUAACUACGUGCCAGCAGCCGCGGUAAUUC